rnacentral:misc_RNA from 1 species
GAUGAAGAACGUAGCGAAAUGCGAUAAGUAAUGUGAAUUGCAGAAUUCAGUGAAUCAUCGAAUCUUUGAACGCACAUUGCGCCCUGUGGUAUUCCGCAGGGCAUGCCUGUUCGAGCGUCAUUUCAACCCUCAAGCCCCGCUUGGUGUUGGGCCCCGCCCGCCGUGGCCGGCCCUAAAGACAGUGGCGGCGCCGCCUGGCCCUCAGCGUAGUACAGCUCUCGCUCCAGGGUCCGGCGGCCGCCUGCCAGAACCCCCCCAACUCUGUGGUUGACCUCGGAUCAGGUAGGGAUACCCGCUGAACUUAAGCAUAUCAAUAAGCGGAGGA